rnacentral:misc_RNA from 1 species
GCAAACUUGGUCAUUUAGAGGAAGUAAAAGUCGUAACAAGGUUUCCGUAGGUGAACCUGCGGAAGGAUCAUUAUUGAUUUUAACGGGAUGUGCUGGCUCAAGAGCAUGUGCACUCCUAACAAAACCAAUAUCCACCUGUGCACCAUUAGUAGACCAGCUGGACUGUCUAUAGUUCCUCUAGUCUAUGCCUUUUACAAACUAUUAUUAACAUAAUUGAAUGGUUAUUUUAUAUAAUAUAAAACAACUUUCAACAAUGGAUCUCUUGGUUCUCGCAUCGAUGAAGAACGCAGC